CUGCCACGUGCUUCCAGCAGCACACACUGUUUUAAAAAGCAGUUAUGCUCUGAUAGCCACCUAAAUGGAACUACUGAGGAUAAACAUCUAGCUAAACGUUCAAAUGUAACGUUCAUUUCUGAAACCUCCACUGUAGGGAUGUAACAUUUUGGAGGCACUGCUGGGAUUGCUGCCUUGGAAGUCCGGUGUCCACAGCCUGUACAUCAUAGUCCAAGUCAGCCAAUUCCCCCCACUACAACCCAGGCAGACUGCAGUAAGGGAAGUGUUGCUGUUGAGGAGAACUGGUAGCUGUGUUUCAGUGUACAUUUCCUAUGGCCAACCAGGGAUCAUCAGGGGCUACAAAGACCACUCAGCUCAGCUUCACCUGCACCAGCAGAAUUCCUACUGCCACAAUGUCUUCAGUAGAAGAGCUACAAGAAGAAGUUGUGCGUGAAAUGCAAACCCUGUCUAAAGAUCAGCUAGUAUCAAUCUGUGAUUUCCUUGGCAUUGCAGACGAAAUAGAUGCUAGCGGGAAAACACGUCUUUCCCCCCUAUGUUCAGAUAAUGGAGACCAAAAUGUGAUAUAUUUGUAAUAUGUACAUUGGUUAAGACAUUUAUAUAUACCCCUUCGUUGUUUUGUCAGACUUAGAAGAAUUUUAUCAUAGUUUUAGGUGAAGUCAGACAUAACGUUUCUGUGUCUUGAGUUGUGUACUAGGAAAUGGCCGUUAAGCUAGCGGCAGGAGCUAGGAAUGUGCCCAUUAUCAUUUAUUUUGUGAGGAAACAUGUUAAAGUGUGAAUAGUAAGCAGUUUAUUAUUAUUUUGGUUUAUUAAUUAGCUUUUUCAUCUACUGUGUGACAUUGAUUAGUAAAUGUAAAAAAAAACCUAUGUUCAUUUCAUUGCAUUAAACUACUGCAAGAAGCAA